AGUGGAUUUGGCGGCAUAAUAGUCCAUUUAGAGGAACCUGCCCUAUUAAUGAUAGACCACGAAUUACUAAUCUUUUAUUAGUAAUCAGUAUGUAUACCGCUGUUGUAAGUUAGUUUUAAUAGAAAAUUAACAAUAAUGAAAUUUUCAUUGACUUCAAGUAAAGGUGCAGCUUAUAUAAAAGAGAGAGGUGGGUUACAAUAAUUUGAUUUAUACGGAUUUAUAAAGGAAGAAUAAAAAAUAAUUUUGUUUUGAAGGUGGAUUUAAUAGUAAAAUUUUAAUUAUUUGAAUAGAGCUCUAUUAUGUGUACACACCGCCCGUC
rnacentral:rRNA from 1 species